CACGUAGGGUGCGAGCGUUGUCCGGAAUUAUUGGGCGUAAAGAGCUCGUAGGCGGUGUGUCGCGUCGGCCGUGAAAACCUGCAGCUUAACUGUGGGCGUGCGGUCGAUACGGGCAUCACUGGAGUUCGGCAGGGGAGACUGGAAUUCCUGGUGUAGCGGUGAAAUGCGCAGAUAUCAGGAGGAACACCGGUGGCGAAGGCGGGUCUCUGGGCAACAACUGACGCUGAGGAGCGAAAGCGUGGGUAGCGAACAGG
rnacentral:rRNA from 1 species